CUAUUACUCCCUCCGUUCAGAAUUACUUGUCGCACGUAUGGAUGUAUCUACAUGUAUUUUAGUUCUAGAUGCAUCCAUUUCAGCGACGAGUAAUUUGGAACGGAGGAAGUAUAUA
rnacentral:pre_miRNA from 1 species